rnacentral:pre_miRNA from 1 species
UAACCUCUGCAGGCUGGCCAGCCCCAGGCUGACAGGGGCAACUAUCUUUUCCAAAGGCUCACCCUCAAGCACAACUAGGGGC